GCAGCGGAAGGGUAGCGGAGGAGAAGAGAGGGAACUAAGAGCAGCGCGUCGGCGGGAAAGGAAGGAGGUAGGGCGCGGACGGCGACUCGGGGAGGAGAAGGGUCAAGGCGGUCGGAGUAGGAGACGGCGAGCGAGUUAAGCUAGACGUCCCCUCUCUCACUUCUACUCUCCCUUUUCUUCCUUCCUCUCCUCCCACUUUAAAGCCUUUCUCCUAUCCCUCCACGUCGAGACUUACCCUCUCCCAGAGGCGACCGCGACCGGACGCGGCCGCUCCAGCCCGCGCUGGUCCGGUAACCACUACCGAGCUAAGAGAGGAUCUAGCCGAACACGUCACGUCACCACGCCGCCUGCCGGGAGCACGUCACCGGAGUCGCCCACCCGCUGCUGUGGACGUCGACCACGUGUUACCGCUGCCGUACGUCGAGGACACGGGGCGUUGUGAGAGGAAGGUGCGUGUCGUCCUCGCCCUCGUUCCUACGACUCCGUUAUCAAGUCAUCUUCCUUUUACUCCGUCUCUUCCAAAGUGGUUGGAGAAGAUGUGACUGUUUAGAAAAGAAAGGUCGUAACGGUACCUCGUCGCUUACACGAGUACAUUCGAGUAAUGGAACUAAUCGCCGCCGCGGCGAGGAGGAGUUCCGGUGCCCACUUCGUCGUCGCCGCGGCGAGGAGGAGUACCGCUACCGGUGUAGGAGGAGGUGUGGAGGAAACGUGCGCGAAGGGCGAAGGCGAACGAGCAAGAGGCCCACAACAUCAGUCUUGUCCGUCCCACCUCUCCCGUGUGUUUUCGAUCCGUCCGGUGUCUGUUGUCACACGACGUCUGAACUCACUCCUGUUGUCACUCACUGUGACCUGCUUAGGCAGGACCAGCUCGGGGGUGGGUCUGCCGAUGGACGUCUCCUCUACAGUUCCUGUCGAGGGUCAAGCACCGCCUCUGUGGUCGUGUCUAUCCCAAACCCACUCCCAACUAAGGAUGGGACUACCGUCGUUGGGAGGAAGGCGUUGGAACGGGCGGCUCACGUGACUCGACAAAACGACAUGUUUCUCGGAGAGGAAAAGUUACAUGGUACCACAGGGAAAGGUACGAUCGAGAUUUGAAGACGGGAGUAGUAAGGGUACCACAGAUUCUUUUAGUAUCCCUUCUCCGAGAUCCUCUCCCCCAAACCAAAAUGAAAAGACCAAAACGUUGUGCUACGCUGCUUAAAGAGGACGUACAUACCGAAGUAAGGAAGUAAAUGGUAUACGUUUAGAACCAGAAGUUAAACGAACCAAAGCAUACUCACUGGCCUCUAAUGACACUACGAUACAUUCGGAUGUCACAUCUCACUUAGUCUAUACACGAUCCAGGUGAUUAAAUCGAGUAAUGGAACGAAGUGACAACACAUCUACGUUUUGAACAAAAGGGAACACGACUUAAACGGUGAUAAAAAGUAAAGACGAGUAAGACUAGAUUGGUUUCACAGGACUACCUAAACUCCGAGAACGCGUACAGACCAAACCUGUACGGGAAUAAAAAAUAGUCUAGUGAUUUGAUUUGACAUAUUAUUUUAUCUGGGGGGAGGAAAGGUUGUGGAAUAAAUAAUAAUCUCGUUCGUUGUUGUACAAUAGUAUAAGCCAAAGAACACUCAUCGUGAAGUCAAAUCUAACGGUAUAUGAGAAACCAUAUAUCGUAAAAACGGAUGUGUAAACGGGUAAAGCGUAUCUUUCUACCAAACGAAACCUCCCCUUAAUCUAUUCCGGGUACUCAGGAUUCAUUCACACUAUUCGUUCGGGACGUGAAGAUAAAUGAUAAUUCGUAGUCGAUUUAAAGACUAUUACCGUAAAGUCUCUAUUAUGUUAGUUAGGUUGACAAUUGAAACCACACGAAAAACCUAUCCUGAUUAUACUUCUGCGACCGAUCGAGCGUAACGGUAGUAUAUAAGAUCUUCGUUCUCGUUCCUAAUAUCGCUUUUAUUUCCAUAUACGACUAUUGUUUCCCCAACCUCACCACGGGACACCACUGUCGGCUGUCACCUCUUUCUACUCUCCACCGCGUUUGUACUACCGGUUUGGACACCACGAAACGUUCCAUAGAUUAUACCGAUUUACGCAUUGCUUUUCCAGACAGAAGGAUCGGAGUAUCUAGGUUGUCAUCGUGCUUAUUCGUUUCCUAUAAACAAAAGUUUCGGAGACAAUGCUCACUUUACGCCGUUACCUUCGUUCCUUAGCACCGAAUGAAGAUAAGCCUAAGGUAUAGAUGAUCCUGUUAGGACUAUAGGAAGAGUAGUAAAUAUAAACUAAGAAACCUCUAAGUAUUUCUUCCUUACGUAGGUGUUAGAACCAUAUUUUAAACAAACCUACCAAGUCUUAGAAAUCUACCGUACCUACUCUGUAUUAAACAACAUAAGUCUAUAAAAAGUACCAAUGUCGUCAGAACGAGGAAGCCGGGAAGUUGUUGUCAAGUGGCUAAUCAAAUAGUCAGCCGCCGUCGUCCGUUGUGCUCGCCUCUUCCAUCACUCCCUUCCUCUUCUUCGUCGUUUGUAGUCGUCUGUGGGGUGUGGGCAGCACCGCAGGACCUCCCGGGAGCGAUGCCUACCGUCGCCUUCAACCGUUCCGGCCGCCGGUCGCCAACCGUCGUCGCUCUUCGCGCUCACUUUCUGGACCAACUAAACCCUUUCCCUCCUCUUGUCUCCUGACCAGCUAAAUAACUUUCUUCUUGUCUAUUCCAAACCAUCUAAACCCCCUUUCCUCCUCUCUGCUCGCACGCACCGUCGUCCAUCAGCCACAUAACCUG
rnacentral:rRNA from 1 species